GUUUCCGUGGUGUAGCGGUUAUCACAUCUGCUUAACACGCAGAAGGUCCCAGGUUCGAUCCCUGGCGGAAACA
rnacentral:tRNA from 1 species